UUUAAAGUAGUCUAGUGGUAAGUCUUUUGCUUCCAAAGCUACAUGUUAGUGGUUCAAAUCCCCACUUAAACA